UACGUAGGGUGCGAGCGUUAAUCGGAAUUACUGGGCGUAAAGCGUGCGCAGGCGGUUCUAUAAGACAGAUGUGAAAUCCCCGGGCUUAACCUGGGAACUGCGUUUGUGACUGUAGGACUUGAGUGUGGCAGAGGGGGGUGGAAUUCCACGUGUAGCAGUGAAAUGCGUAGAGAUGUGGAGGAACACCGAUGGCGAAGGCAGCCCCCUGGGUCAACACUGACGCUCAUGCACGAAAGCGUGGGGAGCAAACAGGAUUAGAUACCCUGGUAGU
rnacentral:rRNA from 1 species